GUAGACCAGGCUGGCCUCAAACUUACAGAGAUCCACCUGCCUCUGCCUCCUCGGUGCUGGGAUUAAAGACCUGUGCCACCACUGUCCGGCUUUGGUCCAUAUCGUAAGACACACACACGUCCUCACUUCUUGCCUUGGCUUUCCGGGGUUGGAUUGACUUUGCUUUCAGUUUAUACUGGGAAGUCAGGUCCCUCCUUGUGAGUAUCAAGUGUCUUUCUUGGUCCAUGCUCUGCUCUCCUGAGACCUGACCUGAGACUGAUCUGGAUACUGUAAGCUGAAGCUUAUGAAUCUUGCAGCCGCAUCCUGUGGUGAAGCAUCCCCUUUGGGGAAGGACUUCGCCUGGAUUCUAAACAACAGGAGGUGUGUCCCUUAUCACAUGAAAGCAAUAGGCCAGCUGACUGCCGGCCUUCUUGGUGAUUUACAUCCCCACUGUAGCGGAGAGCUCUGUAAAGCUCUUUUCUGGGUGCCCCACCUUUUAGUUUACUUUGCAUUUAUUUUGUGUGAAUGUGUGGGGAGAUGCCCAUGAUGCUGAAUCGGCCCGGAGGUCAGAGGACAACUUGCAGGUGUCUGUUCUCUCCUUCGGCCCCCACGUGGUGGUCCUGCCUGGGAUUUGGGCUUGGCGGCACACACCUAUGCCCUAAAGCCAUCCUGUUUGUCCCCCAUGUAUCCCCUUAUCUCAUUGGAGGAUUUUGCUUUAUGAAACAGUGCUACAUCCUGGCAAAGCGGUAAGAACGCAGCGAUGCCACACUUCACAGACUAGGUGUGUAACAUAUCCUUGAGCUUGUCUUGGGAUUAAGUACACAUUGGAUGAAGUAUGGGGCUUCAGAUGGACCUCAGUUGACAGUGUGUUUCUAGCAUGCAGGAUGCUCUGGGUUCCAUCCCAGGACUGUGUAAACUUGGCAUAGUGGUGAACACUGGAGAUAGGCAAAAAGGUCAAGAGUUCAAGGCCAUCCUUGGGUACAUAAUGAAUUCAAGCUCAGCCUGGGCUACAUGAGACCCAUCUGAAGGAAAACUAAUUAGUACGUUCCUGUUUAUCAAGAAAUACACACUAAGGAUGAGCAAAGGGAGUUCGGGGGGAAGGAUCCACUCUGUAUUAGGGGAUAACUUUUAGGAAGCCCUGCCAUGGACUGUAGUCUUUAUUUCAGGGACUGAAUUUCUCUGUGUAGCCUUCAUGCUGGAAUUGAGAUCUAAAGGAAGUAAGAAGGGCCCCUGGAAGCCAGGUGUAGUUUAAUCAGGGUUGAACCUGGCACACUGGCAUGGGUCUGUAAUCCCAUCACUUGGGAGGCUGGGGUAGGAGAACUGUAGUGAGGUAGAGGCUAGCCUGGGUUACAGAGUGAGACCCUGUCUUAGAAAAAUAUUCAAUUAGAGGGCUGGAGAGAGGGCUCAAGAGUUAAGAACACUGUGCAACAACAAUGACAAACAAAACAAAAUACUGUUUACUCUUCCAGAGGACCAGAGUUCUAAUUCUAGCAUUCACAUGGGGGUGUGUGGGAGUGGGGUAUCAACUGUAACUGCAGUUCUAGAGAAUCUAACACCCUCUUCUGAGGCCUCCACAGACACUAUACACGCAGGGUACACAGAUAUACAUGCAGGUAAAGUACCCAUAUGCAUGAAAUAAAACCGCCUAAAAUAAACUAAAUCAACCAAUCAGUGCUGGGUAUGGUGGCACACACCAUUCAGGAGGCAGGGGCAGGUUUGAGUUAUCCUGGUCUACAGGAACAAAGCAAGUUCCAGGCCAGUUAGGGCUAAAUAAUGAGAUUCUGUCACAAACAAACAAACAAACAAACCAUAUAUAUUAAUAGGUUUUCUUUCUUCUAGGGUGGUUUGCAAUUUGCAGCAAUAUUCCUGCCUCAGCCUAAAGUUGGGGUUACAGGUGUGAACCACUGUGCCCAGCUACCUUCCCCAGUUUUGCUUCCAUGAGAUAAGCAUCUAGGAUGUUCCCUCUGUCUCCUUUCAGUAUUUAUACAAAACACUUCUUGGAAUUGGGAGAGUAGUCUGUGUUAACCUAUACCCUAAGGAUGUGUGAGGACCUGGGUUCAAUUCCCAGCUCCACCUAAGUAACUCCACACCAAAACUAACACACACACACACACACACACACACACACACACACACACAGAAUUUAAAAAGGGGCAGUAAGAAUCAUAGAACACUUCACAGACAUCUUCAAAUAAUAGCUUGACACUCAUUUAAGUCCCCUACUCAUGGAUAGACGGUGAAGCCAUAGCCUUCUCAAGUCUUUGCUUUCCUGGAGUAGUAAUCAUCUGCCAAUAGUAAACAUGGUUGUCUUUCCCUUAGCGCGUCGCCUUCAGCCAGUAGUAAGCAUGGCCGUAUCUACUUCCGCCAGGCUAGAGGUCAAGGGUGACACAAGAUGGCGGCGCCCAUAAGCGGUUGAGGCGUGACGCGGAGGAUGUUGGCGGCGGCCCGGGCUCUGCGGGGGCCGCGGCCGAGGUGGCCGACACCGGCUCGCGAGCACUGGACACCGGCCGGCCGUUCGCGGAGCCGGCGAGAAGCGGCCGAGGCCGAGGCGGACGUUCCGGUGUUUCAGUACGUGGGCGAGCGCGCGGCUCGCGCCGAUCGCGUCUUCGUCUGGGGCUUCAGCUUCUCCGGGGCGCUCGGGGUGCCCAGCUUCGUGGUGCCGUCCUCGGGGCCUGGACCGCGCGCCGGCCUGCGGCCCCGACGCAGGAUCCAGCCGGUCCCCUACCGCCUGGAGCUGGAUCAUAAGAUUUCCUCUGCUGCCUGUGGCUAUGGAUUCACAUUGCUGUCCUCGAAAACCAAGGAUGUUACAAAAGUCUGGGGCAUGGGACUCAACAAAGAUUCCCAGCUGGGAUUCCACAGGAGCCGGAAGGAUAAAACCAGGGGCUAUGAGUACGUUUUGGAGCCCUCGCCUGUCCCGCUGCCGCUGGACAGACCUCAGGAGACAAAGGUGUUGCAGGUGUCCUGCGGUCGAGCACACUCCCUUGUCCUGACAGACAGAGAAGGUGUCUUCAGCAUGGGCAACAAUUCCCACGGGCAGUGUGGCCGGAAGGUGGUGGAGGAUGAAGUAUACAGCGAGAGUCACAAAGUGCACAGGAUGCAGGACUUCGAUGGACAGGUGGUCCAGGUUGUCUGUGGUCAGGACCACAGCCUGUUCCUCACAGACAAAGGUGAAGUCUAUUCUUGUGGCUGGGGUGCCGAUGGACAGACAGGCCUGGGUCACUACAACAUCACCAGCACACCCAGCAAGCUGGGCGGAGACCUUGCCGGGGUGACCGUUGUCCAGGUCGCCACCUACGGUGACUGCUGCUUAGCUUUGUCCGCUGAUGGAGGUGUCUUUGGCUGGGGAAAUUCCGAGUACCUGCAGUUGGCCUCUGUCACAGACUCCACACAGCGGAGGGACAUGUUUUCGUCUGGGGCUAUGGAAUUCUUGGGAAAGGACCAAAGCUCUUGGAAACGGCAAUUCCAGAAAUGAUUCCACCCACGCUCUUUGGUUUGACGGAGUUUAACCCUGAAGUCCAGGUUUCCCAGAUCCGAUGUGGGCUUAGCCACUUUGCCGCACUCACCAACAAGGGUGAGCUGUUCGUGUGGGGCAAGAACAUCCGAGGGUGCUUGGGGAUUGGCCGCCUGGAAGACCAGUACUUCCCAUGGAGGGUGACGAUGCCCGGUGAGCCUGUGGAUGUGGCGUGUGGAGUGGAUCACAUGGUGACUCUAGCCAAGUCAUUCAUCUGAAAGGCCCUCUGGGCCCAGCCUGGGAGCCACACCACAGCAGCAGCUUGGCAGAGGCAGGGGGUGGCCACCAGCAGAGCUUCUGAGGGUACUGGGAGAGGGCCAGGGCCUCUGGGGUGCAGGAUGCUUGCUGUGUGUCCUCAGUGGGGACAUUCUACUAGAGGUGUGUGGACAAAGCCCUUCCCCCGCUGAGGUUCCUGCUGCUGGCCUCAGCUCAGGAUGGCUACAGUUGGCUUGCCGUGUUUCUGAGGAGCACCAGGGCGUGAAGACCUUGGGUGGCCAGGCAGAUUCCUUUUCCAGGUAACACAUGGUAGCAUCUGGGGAUGUGUCUUGUCUGAGACACUAUUCUUAGAGAAAGUUCACUGCUCAUGACACAUUUGAUAUUAAGAGUUUAGAGACAUGACAAGGCACUCAGAAGAACUUGUAGUCCCCUGUCACAGGAGGAUAAAGUUGGCCUCAGCUCAGCAAGAAGCCAGCUGACUGCCUGCAGCUAGGGCCUCUGGUCAGCUGUCAUCCCAGGAGUCCCGCAGAAGGACAGUCCAGGAGCCCAGGAUGCCUUGGCUUGAGACUCUUGAUGGAGCUGCCAGUGGGAGCCAGCCUCCCGCUCAGGCCUACAGUAUCCCAGCCUUGGAACUUCCUCACUGCCUGGCUUUGAACAGCCCAGAAGCCCCUGAAGAAAGACUCUGCGGGCCAAGUGCUUGUGGGCUGAGGGCCGUGGAAUCUUGGCUGAAGGGCUGGCCUUGGAGUAGGAGGCCUCAGAAACUGGGAAAUACUUGUUUUUAGGGAAGCUUGCCCUUUCCUUUCAGAACAGGGUUGGAAAAGGUCUUUUGGAAUAAAGCCUAUUUUCUGCCUUUUUACAGAAUGGA